rfam:Eutrema salsugineum unplaced genomic scaffold scaffold_10, whole genome shotgun sequence.
UUAGCUCAGUUGGUAGAGCGAAAGACUGUAAUGGGUUCUCUCUAAGAAAUCUUUAUGUCGCCGGUUCGAUUCCGGCA